AUUAGAGUUUGAUCAUGGCUCAGGACGAACGCUGGCGGCGUGCCUAACACAUGCAAGUCGAGCGAAUGAAGUUCCUUCGGGAACGGAUUUAGCGGCGGACGGGUGAGUAACACGUGGGCAACCUGCCUCAUAGAGGGGAAUAGCCUCCCGAAAGGGAGAUUAAUACCGCAUAAGAUUGUAGCUUCGCAUGAAGCAGCAAUUAAAGGAGCAAUCCGCUAUGAGAUGGACCCGCGUCUGAUUAGCUAGUUGGUAAGGUAACGGCUUACCAAGGUGACGAUCAGUAGCCGACCUGAGAGGGUGAUCGGCCACAUUGGGACUGAGACACGGCCCAGACUCCUACGGGAGGCAGCAGUGGGGAAUAUUGCACAAUGGGGGAAACCCUGAUGCAGCAACGCCGCGUGAGUGAUGACGGCCUUCGGGUUGUAAAGCUCUGUCUUCAGGGACGAUAAUGACGGUACCUGAGGAGGAAGCCACGGCUAACUACGUGCCAGCAGCCGCGGUAAUAAU
rnacentral:rRNA from 1 species